AAGGCUUUAAGUUAAUAAAACUAAUAGCCUUCAAAGCUAUAAAUAUAAGGUCAAUCUUUUAAGCCUUA
rnacentral:tRNA from 1 species